rnacentral:rRNA from 1 species
AUUGAACGCUGGCGGCAGGCCUAACACAUGCAAGUCGAACGAGUGGCGGACGGGUGAGUAAUGUCUGGGAAACUGCCUGAUGGAGGGGGAUAACUACUGGAAACGGUCGCUAAUACCGCAUACCAUCGGAUGUGCCAAGAUGGGAUUAGCUAGUAGGUGGGGUAACGGCUCACCUAGGCGACGAUCCCUAGCUGGUCUGAGAGGAUGACCAGCCACACUGGAACUGAGAAACGGUCCAGACUCCUACGGGAGGCAGCAUGGGGGAAUAUUGCACAAUGGGCGCAAGCCGGAUGCAGCCAUGCCGCGUGUAGGAAGAAGGCAUUCGGGUUGUAAAGUACUUUCAGCGGGGAGUCGUUACCCGCAGAAGAAGCACCGGCUAACUCCGUGCCAGCAGCUGCGGUAAUAC